GGCUUAGAAGCAGCCAUCAUUGAAAGAGUGCGUAAUAGCUCACUAGUCGAGUGGCCCUGCGCCGAAAAUUUACCGGGGCUAAACAAGGUGCCGAAGCCACGGAUGAGACGACGUCUUAUGGUAGGAGAGCGUUCUAAUGGCUUGGAAGCCUGACCGUGAGGACAGGUGGAGCGAUUAGAAGUGAGAAUGCCGGUAUGAGUAGCGAAACACGGGUGAGAAUCCCGUGCACCGAAUGACUAAGGGUUCCUGGGGAAGACUCGUCCUCCCAGGGUUAGUCGGGACCUAAGCUGAGGCCUAAAGGCGUAAGCGAUGGUCAACAGGUAGAGAUUCCUGUACCCGUCUUCUUUGUCUGACCGAUGGAGGGACGCAGGAGGCUACGAUGUGCACACUGUUGGAUAUGUGUGUUCAAGCAGCGAGUCUAGACAAGAGUCAAAUGCUUUUGUCUGUACAGACGAGUUGUGAUGAGGAGGGAAAUCAAGUACCGAAGCAUCCGAUGUCACACUGCCGAGAAAAGCUUCUAGGAAGAAGAAGACGGCCCGUACCGCAAACCGACACAGGUAGUCGAGGAGAGCAUCCUAAGGUGAUCGAGCGAACUCUCGUUAAGGAACACGGCAAAAUGACCCCGUAACCUAGGGAGAAGGGGUGCUGACCACAUGGUCAGCCGCAGUGAAUAGGCCCAGGCGACUGUUUACCAAAAACACAGGUCUCUGCUAAUUCGAAAGAAGAUGUAUAGGGGCUGACACCUGCCCGGUGCUGGAAGGUUAAGAGGACGAGUUAGCCGUAAGGCGAAGCUCUGAAUUGAAGCCCCAGUAAACGGCGGC
rnacentral:rRNA from 1 species